ensembl:lncRNA
GCCCCUCCCAUUUUCAGGUCACCACAGGAAUAUGUAAAAAGGAAAUGUUUUAUUUUAACAGAGUUGAACAAAGUACACGAAACACACCCUUCCCAUUGCCUAACAUUCCUCAAGUUAAAUUGCAGAGCCCAGCAUAACUUUUCCUCUUGGUCUUUUAUUUCAUUGAAAAGGGCCCAAAAUGUAAUAUUCAUGCAGGAAGCAUAAAUUGUAUUGCUGGAAGCAAUAGCAACCUCGAAGCAAAAUCCCUCAGGAUCGCUGUGCUCAGGAGUGUGCAGGCUGCUCCUGGCCCAACAAGUUUCCUCAGUGCCGUGCUUGUGGCUUUGCACAGCCUAAGCUAUAGGAUUUCUUUGCAGCAUGGUUUUCUUGACAUUUUGGCCCUUGUGGACAGUCCUUGGCCUCAGGAGUAGCUGCUAGCCUCUUGCCCAACCAUCCCACUCUGGGCCACUCUUCUUCCCUUUCAGUAUGCAUGAGUAACUCCCACGAAUGUAAAUAAAAGUUAUGUGCACGCAUCAAGGGGAAAUGGAUCCAUUUGUCAUGGCUCCAGACAAGCAGCAUCUCCCCAAGGAGCUACUUACGAGGCUAUUGAGAAGCUAGCAGCAACGCGUGAUAGGCUGCACCUUCUUCCAUGUGUGUUGCAGAAAUUAUUGGCAUGUUGCUGAUGUUUACGGCGAACAAAUAGUUUAUUUCUGGGCUAAGAAAGAUUUCAAUGUAAAUACUCAACUGGCAGCUAGCUGGAAGUUUGCCACUUGAAGUUAAAAGGCCCAUGACCAAUGGUGUCAGAUUAACAUUUCCAAGUUGGACAAUGUACAAAUGGUGUUCUUGGACUGGAAUAGAAAUAGAUGAAAGUGGUCUGCUGCAGUGCAAAUAACAAACUGGCAACCAGCUGGUCAUUGGAAAGAGAACAUACUAUGGGAAUAUGCUUUCUGCAGAAAUACUUUAUUUUGGAGAUAAGCAUUAACAAUAGGAAGAUGAGGCUCAUUUAACAAGAACCAUAUGGUCUCAUCCUGCUUUUAUUUCACUCAGUAGCAAAGCUCUGAUGAUCUUUUGUGUGUGCAAGAUAGGGGUUGCUGUUAAUAAAUAAGCAAAACAGAUUCAAGCUAGUCGUUUGGAAUUAAAAAGAAACAGUAAUGCUUGAUCUACUGUUGCCUUUUAAAAGGUAUGAAGGGGAUAGUUUUAAUCCACAAAAUGCUAUUUCAGGAGACCGUAACUGAAAGGAAGUGGAAUUAAAGGUGUUUGUUGGAAAACAACUUCUGAUAAAGUAAGACUAAGAUCCACUCAAGACUGAGUUAUGAACCAGUGUGAAACCAAUACAGAAAUUUCUCCAAGCUAAUUUGUGGCUGGGUUCAUUCCAUAAAAAAGUUUGUAUUUUUCAGGAGAGACGACAACACCCCUUUUUAAAGCAGUUUUAACUACACCAUUUAUUCUACUAGCAACUUAAUCAGAGUUAACAGCAUUUCACACUCUUGUUUCAGCGUAAUAGCAAAAGUGAAUGAUGCAAAAAGAAAAAGUCAUCUGUGGGAACUGCACUGGAAAAUCCUGCUUUGGGAACUUUUCAAGGAUGUAAAACAUUGUCUAGAGUUUUUUACUUUUAUGGGUAGGAAGUAAAAAAGAAGCAAAGAGAGGAAAUCUCAUUCUUACAACAAUUGGAAAGUUGAAGUAAAAAUGAUAAAACUCAUCACUGCAAAAUAAUUUUUAUUUCAUUUUAUUUUAUUUUUUACAGUGGCUAAACUUUGUUAUUUUGGUUGCAAGAAGACAGCAAGAUGGAAGCUUCAUUUAUUGUAAAAAAUAAAAUUAAGAUUUGAACAUGGAAAAAAUGUGCAGAUCUUGUACUCGGCAGCUCACUUCUGCCUUUGGAGACAAGUACUAAUCCCAUUGAUUUUCAUAUGCUUGAAGACAGCUCAGCAAUAUCAAAAUUGCAUUAUAUUACAUAUUUAGAUAGGUAGCAGAAAUGCUGAGUCAUGGCCUGAAGCAGUGAUUGAGCACCUGGUGGGAAGGCAGGGCCAACCCAGGGAAGCUCAGGUGUAUGCAAUGUACCUGAAUGACCAGAAGGUUUGGAGCCAGAAUUCACCUCUUCCCAGACCUCAUUUAAGGGUUGGCAGUGGAGGUAAGGGGGUUUUGUUGGUGAUCCCUGUAUACUUGAGGUCUUCUGAAGGUAAGCAGAUUCUUUCCUUUGUUUCUGUAUCCACUGCUGUUGUAUUUGAGCAUAUCCUUACUUGCUGCACCCUAAGACUUCACUACUAUGCUGUCACUGUCCUUGCUUCACUUUCCAUUGCAUUUCAGCAUUGCAACAUAUGUUGUGUUUCUAACUAGUUUUGCUGCUGAAGGUUAUGAGUUUUUCUUCACUCUUUGUAUUAAAAUAUAGCAAGUAGUAGAAACUGAGGGAUACGAUGAGUAAUCAUAAGGGGUCAUGUGUUCAGUUCAACUGUCUUCUUUUCCUCUUUUCACUUUAAAUACCCAUUCUCUUUCUUCAGUUCUUCUCUUGGCAAGGUGGCCUUUCAGCCCCCAUUUGAGAAAAACAGCAGGUUUCUCUGCCUGUAUUUCUCCACACUGGGGAUUUGUUUCAGGGUGGAUCAACAAUGAUGGCGAUCCCACAUGUGCCAUACUGGCUGAUUGUUUUCAUGAUGGUUGUGUUUAUGAAACAUGGCCCUCAUCCAAAGCCCUUCAAAUCUGGGAGGUUCUUCCUGCACAGCUGAGGGCAGGCUGUACACAGGUAAAUCCAAAUUAUCAGGGCUCAAUUUUUCCAAGUUUUCAUCAGUUCUCCAACAAAAGUGAAUGAGAGGUGACUUCUGCUUGCUGUUCAUUUUUAGGGGCAGUAUUCAUUUGGUAAUGUUAUGGGUAGGCAGUCCUGCUCCCCAAGGAGUGGGACCAUGCUGCUUCACCACCAGCUCCCAAAAACUGGGGAAGAACUCUCAGCCCUCUCCCUUUAUCCUGCUGACUCCCUCAUUUUUCUCCUCCUCAAGCAGCAGGGAUAGCUGAAGGAGCCUGUCAUCCUUUUAUUGCUGUUUCUAAUAAACACAUAUGGUGAUGCAUAUAACAAUAACAACAGCAAGUUGCUAUUGUUCCGCACACAGCCAUAUGUGGGCUGUCCAGCGGCUCAGCGCGGCGCUGCCAUGAGCAGCUGUGCUGUGAGCACUCAAGAAUGUUGAUAGGCCAAAGAGAAAGAAUGGCUGUAAGGACUCUGAGCCUCUCAAAUAGUGCCUCUGCUUCACAUGCUGCUGUUGCUAAAAACAACUUCUUGAGCAUCGUGUGCCAAAAGCGUAGACACGGUGUUAGUCACCACAGAAGUUUAUAAGGUGAUUAAAUUGCUAAUGAUUGAGAUGUGGAGGCUUAAAGAUUAGCUGGGACCCUGUUGACGCAAGCUUUGCAAACCAAAAUGAAUAUAUAAAAUGUACAUAUAUGUUCAUAUCUGUGUGUAUGUAUGUGUGAGGUGUGUAUAUUUACGCUGUUUGUACUUCCUUUUGGCAUCAGAAAUGCAGGAAUGUGCACGUCUAGUACCUCACAUAAUCCAAACUCAGAGCCUGGCACCAGUCCUUAUUUCAUCCCAUUUUACAGGGCAGAAAGGCACACAGUUUACCAACACUUUGUUGCCCAUCAGCUCCCUUUCCCUCCAACCCUGUGAAGCUUUGCCCUGGCUGAUGCUCUGUUGAGCCACGUAGGGGCAGCCCAGAUAUGAUGGCUGCAAUGCUUUGCCUACACUGGUGUUUCCCAUACUCUUUCAGAUGCUUCUUUUCCCAGUGCUGUAUUAUGCAGUGACCUGACUGAAAAACAAGCAGCCCAUCUGUACAUCUUCAUCCUUCCAUGAGCGUGCUUGUAGGAGAGAGACUGCAAGUGAGAGAAGAAAGAAAGCUUAAAAGCAGGCAACCUUUUUCAAAUUUGGACAAACACCAUCAGGCAAACAUAUCUUUAUUUAAGCACUUGAAUAAUUUAACUAUUGUAAUUUCUUUUAAUGAGAUGCUGAGUACCUAGUGUAAAUAAGAGGAGAGAGACAAUUGUAAAAGAUCCAAAAAAUCAACUACUUGCAUAUGUCUCUGAGCAUGGAGUUUGGAAGUAGUAUUUAAAUAUCAAAGUGUGAGUGGUUUCAAUCCGUGUUUCUGAUGCAGGGCAGGAAGUCUUCAGCACUGCACUCCUUUUGCUCCUUGCACGUAUGAGUUACCUGUAUAAUGGGGUGAUUUCAGAGCCAUGGGGAGGGCUCCUGGCUCACCAGGAGGAGUGGUAUCUGCAGUCACAGAGUUGUGUGCUGGGUUCAGCCACUGGGAGCCAUGAAUGUUUUUACCAAGUCCAUGAAACCACAAACAUUUGCAUGCUCAAAUAUCCCAACAAAAAGCACAACUUCUUAGCAUCUGCAUAACAUACUUUUCAAUACUGUACACAGUAGCCCAAGAAAGAAAGGAAAGAAAAAGGAUAACUUGCCUUAUAUUUAGUCCAGCUUAGGCAGUUCUCUCUAAUGGGUAAAGCCAAAAUGCCUGUGCCAAUCUUCCCUGGAGUAACAAAGGGGCAGAUUUCACCCCCUGGUAGAUGUGUAUGGCUCUCAUUUCCUUCAGGGAGUGGUGGCAGGACUUCAAAAGCAGCCCGUGCUGAGGCCUGAUUUUGAGGUCCCGCACAUCCCUGAUUUCUGUUGGCUUGUAAGCGAUGUGCAGCCUGAGGUUUUGCUCAUCCCUCAGAUGAAGCUUUCAAAACUCGUGAUGUCUCAGCAUGAGUCAGUGUUUUAUGUAACCCCAGCUUGCAUUCCUCCAAACCCCUCCUGAGCUAAGAGCGCUCGAACAGCCAACCUCAAAUUCUUCUUCCUUGCAGCUGACAGCAUUGUUCCCUGAUUGGCAGCACCUCCUCAAACCCUUCCCAACGUUUUCUGGAGCUCUGGCACAGCUCUCCUGAACACUGGGGACCUGGAUCACUGUGAGGAGCAAGGCUGGGGUAAUGCUGGGCUGAAGGAGGGAGCUCCUGGUAGACCACCCCAAUGGGAAGAUGCUGACUUUCCUAUACUCACAACAGAAAUAGCCAUUUCUAGAGUUUUAAUCUGUUUUUAUUCUCUUCCAUGCAAUGAGAUUAGUUUUUUCCAUGUUUCUGGAGGAAAAAAAAAAAAAAGCCCUCACAUUUUUAAUGGAAACAUGAUAGGGAGGGAAGAGAAGUGAGCCCCACUCGCUUUUGGUGGAGCACCUUAAGCGUCAGCUUUCUUUCAUGACCCAACUCAUCAUGCUAAAGGUGGGCACCCAAACAAACUUCAGGAGUGGCUUAGUAUACCCUGAUUAUUUUUCACCAUUUCGUGUGAACGCACUGAGAUAUACGCACUGCAAGCAAGAGCAGAUAAAACAAGAGAAAGCAGGAAGCUAAACCCCUACAUUUCUUCCAUCCUGAUUGAUUUGCAGUUGAAGAGUGGGAUAUCUUGACUUGUGACUGUGAUUUUGUAUUAGUCAUGAGCAGUUAUAACCUAAAACCUAAAAGAGUGGUCAAGUGCUUGAACAGGUUGUCUAGAGAGGUGGUGGGAACCCUGUCCUUGGAAACACUCAAGGUCAUGCUGGACAGGGCUCUGAGCACCUGACUGAUCUACAGGAUCAGAUGACCUUUAAGGGUUCCUUUCAGGAUCAGAGAGUCCCUUUCAACAAAUGAUUCUACAUUUCUAUGAGAAUGACUGUCUUUCUCCUUCCAAAAAUAAAACACAAGUUGUCUGGAGCAAUGGCUUUUGGAUGUUGAGUUGGAGAUGUUGCUGUACUGGAAUUUUUUAAUAACAUGGGAGAGCAGAGCACAGGGAAGCAUUCCUUGUUUGAUGCAGGCGGUGAGACAUGGCUGGGAAGGAUAUUGAGGCCAGGGGGAUGGCCAAAGCACCUUCUCUGAGCAACUGCAGUAUUUCAUGGGCAGCCCCUGCUUCCUGUGUUCAAGCAGAGUCCACACAUCCAAGGUUACAAAAGAAAUAGCUUAGAAGCACAUUUUGGGAUAGUUUUCAGGUGGUGUUGUCUUUUUUCUUUGUUCAAAUAGGCAGUCAAUUGCCAUGUAGAACAUGUGUGAGAUCACUACCUCAGAUUUCCACUAGCCCACACAAAUGUAGCCCUGUGACACCUGACCAAACUGCCAUUGGAUACCCUGGGUGCUGCAAGUGUUGGCCCUGCUCACAUCUUGAUUCUCGAAGCAGUGAAGUAGUUCUUGCUCUCAUUAGAAGUCACCUUACUGAGAUUUCUCUUGGCUGCAAAGCCAGUUUUGGGAGUCAGGAGGAGCUGGUGGGCUCUGGAGUUCAGAUGCAGCUCUUGGUUUCAGUCGAAGCGUUGUCAUUAGUUAUUUCCAAGUACAUUCAUUUUUAAAUAUGUACAGUCACAGCCAAGAUUCUUAACUGUGAUUAUUGUAGAAAGCAAAGCACAUGAACCACACCACUGGGAUUCCAUUGCUGCUCGUUGACCACCAAAAGAUCCUACACCAAUCUGGACGUGUGAGCACCUCCAUUCCUCUGGGAAGGGACUGUCUCCACACUUUUUUCGCUACUCUAUCAGCUGGCCCUAAUAAAAGCUGUAACUUCUCCAUAGAUGCAUCACCUGGUCUGUGUGAUACGUGCAUUGCAGCCUGCCUCCUGCCUAGAUAGUAGCCCAGUGGGUUUGCCUUGUUUUCUUUCUGGGGAAUAUGGGCAAGCCUCUUGCAGCUUGCUUUGCCUAUGGUCUGCUUUGGCUUUUUUUUGUCUGUAAACAUUAAAUGCAACCUCUCUGCCCCCCUCGAUGCAUGUGAAAGCAAACAAAAUAAAUGAUAACAUAAUGGGGCUCUUCCUUCAUGUUUACAUCUUAAAACUUUCUAUUGAGACCUUCCAGCAGCAUUUGUGAGUGCCCUCUAGCUCAGUGCACUGAGAGCUCUGCAUGAAUUUAUUGAUGGUAGCUGGAAGAAAAAUGGAAAACUAAAUGAAAUCCCUGGAGAAACGAGGUAUGUCACAAACUUCCCAAAGUUAUUUGCAAACGUUUUCUGCCAGUAUCAAUAAAUCCCUCUAAUUUCAGGAUAGGCUACAUUAAUUAUAGGUUGGCAUCAUGCAUGUAAAGGUUGCUGAAAGUUAUAUCUGCAAUCUGUCAUGUUCAAAUUGUACAUUCAUGUGGAAUAUUUGUUAUUUUAAUACGUGGGCAUACAUACGAGCAGCAAGAGCGUCCAUGAUGUUUUAAUAGGCUUUUAUUAGUCGUACUCUCCUUGUAAUCUUGUUUUACAGUAUGUGCUCUCAAUGUGUUUGUGUCUAUGCUCUUCAUGCACACAUCGCGGGAUGCCAAAACAUCAUUCUGCUUCCUUGUUUCCAACCACUUAGUCAGGCAUUUGAAUGCUUUCCAAAUCUUGUUAAAAACCAGAAAUAGCACUAUCACUUCUUGUUCUUGCUGGGCUGUGCGGAAGGGGGCAGAUGGAGCAGGGCCGGGGGGAGCAGCGAGGGGGUCCAGGGCAGGUAUGGAACCCGAGGUAAAGGGCGGAGGUAGGAAGAGUCUUGGUGCAGUGAGGCCCAGGCCUGCUCUGGAGCUCUUUGCUGGGAAAGUGGGGCCUGGGUUUGUUGCAAUGAUGCUCCACGUGCUCUGCCUCCAGCUUAUAGGGCUUGCAAACCAACACUUCCCUGCCCAGAAAUGACAGGGCACUCGUCUGAGUUGAAGAGGGUUAGCUGUAUUUAGAUUUUACACUACAUCCUUUUCCUUUUCCUUUUCCUUUUCCUUUUCCUUUUCCUUUUCCUUUUCCUUUUCCUUUUCCUUUUCCUUUUCCUUUUCCUUUUCCUUUUCCUUUUCCUUUUCCUUUUCCUUUUCCUUUUCCUUUUCCUUUUCCUUUUCCUUUUCCUUUUCCUUUUCCUUUUCCUUUUCCUUUUCCUUUUCCUUUUCCUUUUCCUUUUCCUUUUCCUUUUCCUUUCUUUGUUGUUUGUUUUGGAUGUUAUGUUUUGGGUUUUUUUUUUUCCCCAGGAAAAUAUGAGGCAAUUUUUUAAAAAUCUAUUUCCUUUUUUUCACAGCUUUCUUUUUCUGAUACUAAAUUAAUCAGACAGACUCAACCUAGAUUCAGUGGAUGCUGUGAAUGUACAUUUCUGUAUUUUCUCUGCUGCAGCUAUCAUCCUAAAUAACAUCAGCCCACCAGUGACAGAGGCUUUACAGUGCAAUGGAGAACUAUUUUGAAGGUUUGAAGAGAAGAAGUAAUAAAAAAUAAAGUCAUGAUUUUUUUCCCCCCUUUCAAAGCCUGUUUACAGAAACUUGUGUGCAUGUGGAUGUAUAUAUUCAAUUAUUUUGACUGUUCUUACCUGCAUGUUUCCUGCUUCUGGCUGAGGCCGAUCUCCCAGGGCUGCCUGCUUGGUGGGGCAGCAGGAAUCGGCACAAAUUGCCCCAAAAUCACGGUCUUGAGCCAUUCCCUGCCUGCUUCUGAGCUGGGAGAUGUGCUGGUAUGUGCUCUGUGAUUUCUGAACGCUUGCAAGCAGUGGGAUGGCUCCCUAAAGUGACACUGCUGCUGCUCUCACCCUGACACUUCCUUUCAUCCUUUUUUUCCUGAGAUAAUUUUGCAGUCCUUGUUCUUUUUCAUUGGUGGCAAGCUGUGUAUUUUGGGGUGGAAUCUAGAGUUGUGUGCAUGGUUUUGCUUACACGUAUGUGUAUCUGUGCAUCUUAAUAUGUGCACUUAUUCAUCCAUCAAUAAGCAUUGUUGGAUAUAUAAGCAUAUGCGUAUGUGCACAAUAUGCAUGUAAUUAUGUGUAUGUACAUUCACAUCUAUGUAUCUAUAGCUGCAUGCCUGUAUAACAGUGCACACAGACGUUUAUGAGCAUUAUGAAUGGUUGGUGUAUUAAGCCUUUGAUUAGAAACCAAUACAAACUAUCACUUUUUAUUACUACUCCCCAACUGUAUGUACUUUGCAUGAGCUUUUACAAGCCCAUCCCGAAGGACUUUCUCUCCUUAUCUGUAUUUCAUGGCCUUCAUUUCGAUUUGUCUUAUCUUAAAAGCAACAACAAAAAAGCAAAUAUGGUAUUUACCUCGGUCAAGAGGAAAACUGCCAGACAGAUUUUUAUUGUCUCCUGCUCGACCCUUUUGCACCUCUGCCCACAAUUUCUGGGUGAUUAUUUUUCAGCAGUUCUCAAGCUCACUCUCCAUGUUACAGCUAAGGGUUACUUCUUGGGGGGAAAAAAAAAGAAAAUAAAGGAAAAAAAGAAUACAUUUAUAUGUAUGGAUAUAUUUAGCCCAGGUUUUCAGUCUACCACCUUCUCCAUCCCCUUGGGUGCAGAGUUGUCCAUGGAUCAUCACGACCACACUGUGCUCGCACCUUCACCCAGCAUCACAGAAACUUUUGUGUGUACCCAUCAACUCAUCUAGAAGCCAUAGGAUGCUGUUUGCCCUCUGCAUAUAACCUCUUCAUGCUGUUGGAUGUUCCCUAAGGCUCCUGCCAGCCCCUUCAGAAGGAAAGGGGUGGGGAGAAAUGCCCAAGGAGAGCUCCUGGUGCUGCCCCUGCUGCACAGAGGAUGUGACACAACCACGAAGACACUGAGAUGAUGGUCCGGAGCAGCUGCAUUUUGCUCUGCACAAGAAAAUCCACCUUCAUACCAUCUCUGAUAUCUGGGUGAGCUCAGGUGAAGCCACUUGUCCGAGCCAAAGAGCUCAAGCCAAGCAAUCAAGUAGCCAAACAACAGAAUAACCAUAGGCACUGGAGCAUAGCCUGGAAUUGCAACGGUCUCAGCUGAGAACAUGUCAUCAGAAUGGAAGGAGCCAGGAAGGGCUUGGCGGCCAACAUAGGCUCUUCGGAGCAGAGCAAAGCAGGGUUUCAGUGGCCCAUUGUUGGUGGCAGUCUGGCUUGCUUUGCUGGAGCAGCCACUGUGGGGUGAAGCAAGAAGUUGCACUUUGUUUUUAAUUAGCAGACAUUUAAAGUGUUUUUCAGCAUGACUCAUGUCCCAGGAAUAAUUGAAUUCGGAGAUUUUGUUUUCGAUGCAAUCAAAGAGUCCACACCACAUCAGAGAAGUAGAUAGAACCGUUGCUUAAACUAUCUGUAUGUUAUUUGCCAGGUACGUGCAGGCAGGGCAGCCACCUCCCCCGGUACUCAACUCCAGGUCUGAGCUCCUCUCCCCAUAAGAGGGCGAGGGAGGGGAUCCGUGCAAGGCACCGUGCUUGGAGCCCUCUCAGUUCAAAGGUGCCCAAGGAGAUGGAGCUGGCCUAGGGAUGGCUGGAGGCCACACAGACAGGAAGUCACCACAGGUGAAAUCCCUCCCAGCAGCUGGCUUAUGAAAUAAUGCGAGGGGAGGCCGUAAUGAGCUGAAAGCACCCUCAGCUGGAGAUAAAUAUAUGCAAAUGAGAUGCACAAACAAAGGAGCCUGGACAGAGAAAUAUCUGCAAUUCCAGCAAAAUGCUGCCUGCAGCUAGAAGAUGAACAGCUUUGAUAAAAUGCUCCCCACAUGUGUCCGUACGGAUGACUACAGAAAGCAAGCCCCGUCCCUUGCCAUUAGCUGAAACACGGAGAGAAAGGCAGAGCAAGGCAGCACAGCGAUGCCGCGCAGCCCCUACCCUCACGGCAACAUUACAUAGGGCGUUGCUGGAAGCUCCCAUUUGAUGCUUUACCUAUAAAGCCUAAAUUGAGCGUCUGAGGGGUGGCGAUGCGUCUCCUGCUCCUAGUUCCACCAAAAACCAAAAUAGACUUUAAAUGGCAACGCUACGAACACCCGAGCGCGCUUCCGCACACGGCAAUCAUCAUCCUCCCCGAUUCCCCCUUAUGUUCCCAAACACGGAGCCAGCAUCGGGAUAAUGCAGCUUUACGUCCAAAGCUCAUUGGAAAUGUAAACUUUGAGCAAAUAGCAAUCGCUUGUGUAGCUGCACUGCUGAGGUGACUGGCAGCAAAUUCCUUUCUCUUCCUCCCUCCCUUCCACGCAGCGUUUUGAAAUACCCAUCAGUGUCAAAGGAAACUGCACAGAGCGCUGCUGCUGCUCUAAAUAAGGCAGAGCAAUGUUGAGAGAAACGUCAAAAAAAAAAAAAAAAAACCCUCAACGGAUUAAAGUGACAUUUCUGUACCGUGUCAAGGCAGAUGACAAAGCUUCGUGUUUUGCAUAAUUUCAAAAAAAGAUCCUUCAUAAAACAUCCAGCGUAUAAACAGACAGCGGGCUUUUGUUUUAAACAUUUAAGAUCAAAAGUUAUGGUAAGGACAAUUAAUAUUGCCUAUUAAAAUCCCGUGUUAUUCUUAGAGGUACAUUUUGUGGUCACUGACUGUAAAUAAAAGCAAAGGAACCGAGCCACAGUUUCUCACCAGCGCGCCAUCUAGAAAUAUGAAGAGGCGAUUUCCAGCUUUUUUUCCCCUUAAGUUGCUCUUAGACGUGUUUGCUGAAUAAACUGGAUUAACUGUAUUUAAAACAAGAGAUAAAGAACAGAUUUUUAUUACGCUGCACAGGCUGCAGGGUUUCCAUGCUCCUCUCAACGCGCUCCACACCCAGGACAAAAUAUUUACAUUUUACCUUUUUUGACACUUUAUACAAUAAGCCAAAAAUCCCAGCGACGCUACAAAGAUGGGAUCAAUGGGGAGCGUUGGAAACAGCACAUUUCCCCCCUUUCUGUUCCUGGCCAAAGGCCGGCACGUUCCUCCCACGACUUUUGUUUGCAGUUCGGCAGCAGGAUUAGGGAGCAGGGAGGGACGCGCUCGCUCAGCUGAAGGACCUUGCGUUGCAUCUGCCUGCAAAACUCCACGGCUGCUGAUAAUCCAAAACUAAUGGCCAGAGCGUGGCCGUAAGAGCGAGCCUGCUCGCAGCUGAAUUUCAAUGGGCGCUUUCUCAAAAAUAGGUACAAAGAAAAGAAUUUAGACAAAUUUGCCUCUUAACCUUUAAAGAUUUCCUGCCUAUUCCAGUAUGUCCUUUAUUGCAUUAAUUUUUUAUUUAAAUUACACCAUUAACUGGAUAUGAAUUUAUCAAGAAUACAUAUAUUGAUUUAUAAAACAGUAUCAUUAAUUAUUAUAAUAGCUAGAUGUAGCUGAUAUUACAAAGCCAUUUAAAGGUUUUUAAUAUAACUUGGACAUACAUAGAUAGAUAGACAUUAUGGACAAGACUACAAUUUAAACUGGCUACCAGCAGUUAAUGAAAUCCUUGAUUUAUCCUCUCGUUUAGAGAUUGAUUAUAUUGUUGCUUUGCAAAACUAUUUAUUUUGUGCCAUUUUUCAAA